UAAUAAGUGUUUUAUGGCACUUUUAAAAUCCCAUAUCCACCUUGUGUGCAAUGUCAGUCGAUCUUCUUCAUGGAGAUCGACCAAACAUCAACCUUUAUCUUUUAACUCUUUGUCUGAAAAAUAUUAUGAAUAAACAAUUCAAAAUA
rnacentral:misc_RNA from 1 species